rnacentral:tRNA from 1 species
GGGAUGGGCUCUGGCUCAGUGGCAAAGUAUCUGCUUUGCAUGUAGAAGGUCCCAAGUUCUAUCCUCAGCAUUUCCA